GAUGAACGCUGGCGGCGUGCUUAACACAUGCAAGUCGAACGGAAAGGCCCAAGCUUGCUUGGGUACUCGAGUGGCGAACGGGUGAGUAACACGUGGGUGAUCUGCCCUGCACUUCGGGAUAAGCCUGGGAAACUGGGUCUAAUACCGGAUAGGACCACGUCUUGGAUGUUGUGGUGGAAAGUUUUUUCGGUGUGGGAUGAGCUCGCGGCCUAUCAGCUUGUUGGUGGGGUAAUGGCCUACCAAGGCGUCGACGGGUAGCCGGCCUGAGAGGGUGUACGGCCACAUUGGGACUGAGAUACGGCCCAGACUCCUACGGGAGGCAGCAGUGGGGAAUAUUGCACAAUGGGCGCAAGCCUGAGGCAGCGACGCCGCGUGGGGGAUGACGGCCUUCGGGUUGUAAACUCCUUUCGCUAGGGACGAAGCGUUUUUGUGACGGUACCUGGAGAAGAAGCACCGGCUAACUACGUG
rnacentral:rRNA from 1 species